CAUGCAAGUCGAACGAUGAAGCCCAGCUUGCUGGGUGGAUUAGUGGCGAACGGGUGAGUAACACGUGAGUAACCUGCCCUUAACUCUGGGAUAAGCCUGGGAAACUGGGUCUAAUACCGGAUAGGAGCGUCCACCGCAUGGUGGGUGUUGGAAAGAUUUAUCGGUUUUGGAUGGACUCGCGGCCUAUCAGCUUGUUGGUGAGGUAAUGGCUCACCAAGGCGACGACGGGUAGCCGGCCUGAGAGGGUGACCGGCCACACUGGGACUGAGACACGGCCCAGACUCCUACGGGAGGCAGCAGUGGGGAAUAUUGCACAAUGGGCGAAAGCCUGAUGCAGCGACGCCGCGUGAGGGAUGACGGCCUUCGGGUUGUAAACCUCUUUCAGUAGGGAAGAAGCGAAAGUGACGGUACCUGCAGAAGAAGCACCGGCUAACUACGUGCCAGCAGCCGCGGUAAUACGUAGGGUGCGAGCGUUAUCCGGGAAUUAUUGGGCGUAAAGAGCUCGUAGGCGGUUUGUCGCGUCUGUCGUGAAAGUCCGGGGCUUAACCCCGGAUCUGCGGUGGGUACGGGCAGACUAGAGUGCAGUAGGGGAGACUGGAAUUCCUGGUGUAGCGGUGGAAUGCGCAGAUAUCAGGAGGAACACCGAUGGCGAAGGCAGGUCUCUGGGCUGUAACUGACGCUGAGGAGCGAAAGCAUGGGGAGCGAACAGGAUUAGAUACCCUGGUAGUCCAUGCCGUAAACGUUGGGCACUAGGUGUGGGGACCAUUCCACGGUUUCCGCGCCGCAGCUAACGCAUUAAGUGCCCCGCCUGGGGAGUACGGCCGCAAGGCUAAAACUCAAAGGAAUUGACGGGGGCCCGCACAAGCGGCGGAGCAUGCGGAUUAAUUCGAUGCAACGCGAAGAACCUUACCAAGGCUUGACAUGUUCUCGAUCGCCGUAGAGAUACGGUUUCCCCUUUGGGGCGGGUUCACAGGUGGUGCAUGGUUGUCGUCAGCUCGUGUCGUGAGAUGUUGGGUUAAGUCCCGCAACGAGCGCAACCCUCGUUCCAUGUUGCCAGCACGUAAUGGUGGGGACUCAUGGGAGACUGCCGGGGUCAACUCGGAGGAAGGUGAGGACGACGUCAAAUCAUCAUGCCCCUUAUGUCUUGGGCUUCACGCAUGCUACAAUGGCCGGUACAAUGGGUUGCGAUACUGUGAGGUGGAGCUAAUCCCAAAAAGCCGGUCUCAGUUCGGAUUGGGGUCUGCAACUCGACCCCAUGAAGUCGGAGUCGCUAGUAAUCGCAGAUCAGCAACGCUGCGGUGAAUACGUUCCCGGGCCUUGUACACACCGCCCGUCAAGUCACGAAAGUUG
rnacentral:rRNA from 1 species